rnacentral:tRNA from 1 species
UCCUCUGUAGUACAGUCGGUAGAACGGCGGACUGUUAAUCCGUAUGUCACUGGUUCGAGUCCAGUCAGAGGAGCCA